rnacentral:tRNA from 1 species
GGUCAGGUGGCCAAGUGGUUGAAGGCGUUGGUCUGCAAAACCGAAAUCGUGGGUUCGAGUCCCACCCUGACCU